GCAGCCUGGAGCGCAUUCAGUGGAUGAUCGGCAACGGACUCUUAAUCCGCAGGUUCCGGGUUCGAAUCCCGGGGGGCGUACCA
rnacentral:tRNA from 1 species